CACGUAGGGUGCGAGCGUUGUCCGGAAUUAUUGGGCGUAAAGAGCUCGUAGGCGGUGUGUCGCGUCGGCCGUGAAAACCUGCAGCUUAACUGUGGGCUUGCGGUCGAUACGGGCAUCACUGGAGUUCGGCAGGGGAGACUGGAAUUCCUGGUGUAGCGGUGAAAUGCGCAGAUAUCAAGAGGAACACCUGAGGUGAAGACGGGUUGCUGGGCUGAUACUGACGCUGAGGCGCGAAAGCUAGGGUAGCAAACGGG
rnacentral:rRNA from 1 species